rnacentral:rRNA from 1 species
CACGUAGUUAGCCGGUGCUUCUUAUCCAGGUACCGUCACCCGAAGGCUUCUUCCCUAGCAAAAGAGGUUUACAACCCGAAGGCCGUCAUCCCUCACGCGGCGUCGCUGCAUCAGGCUUCCGCCCAUUGUGCAAUAUUCCCCACUGCUGCCUCCCGUAGGAGUCUGGGCCGUGUCUCAGUCCCAAUGUGGCCGUCCACCCUCUCAGGCCGGCUACCCGUCGUCGCCUUGGUAGGCCAUUACCCCACCAACAAGCUGAUAGGCCGCGGGCUCAUCCUCCACCGAAAAAACUUUCCACCAACCACACUAAAGAUUGGUCCUAUCCGGUAUUAGACCCAGUUUCCCAGGCUUAUCCCGAAGUGAAGGGCAGAUCACCCACGUGUUACUCACCCGUUCGCCACUCGAGUACCCCUGCAAGCAGGGGCCUUUCGUUCGACUUGCAUGUGUUAAGCACGCCGCCAGCGUUCGUCCUGAGCCAGGAUCGAAACUCU